AUCUAGUGCGGCCUUGUGCAAAUGGUAUCAGUCAACUACACUUCCCAUCGGCGAGUCAGUGAGCGUUUGGUUUCCUAGCAAAAGUAUCGCAACCUGCAAAAUAGACAAGAAUGUCUUACUUCAGAACUUCAGUAAACCUUGUACAGAUACGACAUGGUUUGCAUUUCUCGGCAAAACAUUUUAAACAACCUGAAGUCAAACUCACAAAGGAUGUGUACAAGGUCAAACGUGGAAACUAUUCCGUUCUUGAUGAUUCCCACAUUAAAAAGUUUGAAAACAUAUUAAGUGAAGAUAGAGUAUUGACGGAUGCUGAAGAACUGGAUUCCUACAAUACUGACUGGAUUAAAAUGGUCCGAGGUUAUAGCGGUGUAGUCUUGAGACCGAAGAGUACAGAAGAAGUGUCGGCUAUUCUAAGAGUCUGCAAUGAGAACAAUCUAGCGGUGUGCCCUCAGGGCGGAAACACAGGGCUGGUGGGUGGUAGUGUUCCUGUUUUUGAUGAAGUCAUUAUCUCAACGUCGUUAAUGAAUAAAAUCAUCAAAAUAAAUGAUAUACCAGGAAGCAUAGUAUGCCAGGCAGGCUGUGUGUUGGAGACAUUAGACAAUGCCUUGGCAGAACACGGACUGAUGAUGCCUCUAGACCUCGGGGCCAAGGGCAGCUGUCACAUCGGAGGCAACAUCGCCACCAAUGCAGGAGGUCUGAGAUUGCUGCGCUACGGCAGCCUGCAAGCUAAUACACUCGGCCUUGUUGCGGUUAAGGCUGAUGGGCAAGUGAUAGACUGUAUGAACACCCUCAAGAAGGACAACACAGGAUACCAUCUGAAACACCUGUUCAUCGGCUCUGAAGGAACUCUUGGAUUAGUCACUGAGGUUGCAAUCCAGUGUCCUCCGAAACCUCAGUCUGUCAGUUUAGCACUACUAGGUGUUGUUGACUUUGACCACGCAUUGAAAACUUUCCGCUUGGCUCGCUCUAUGCUUUCUGAGAUCCUUUCUUCCUGUGAACUUAUAGAUGAGAACUGCAUGCAACCUGUAGUCAACACACUUGGUGUUCGUAACCCAUUGAGCGAACAUCCGUUUUAUGUGCUAAUAGAGGUGUCAGGGUCCAACGCAGCCCAUGAUGAAGAGAAGCUGAAUGCCUUCCUGGAGAGUGCGAUGGAAGAUGAGAUCGUUGCUGAUGGAACUGUGACCAAUGAACCUUCGCGAAUGCAGACUAUCUGGCAGUUGAGGGAGAGGAUUGCCGAAGCCCUGCUGAGGAAUGGAUUCGUUUACAAGUACGAUGUUUCACUGCCACAUAACAGCUUCUAUCAACUGAUACCUGUCCUGCAAGACAAACUAAAAGGAACCGAUGCUAAAAUUGUCUCAGGCUAUGGACAUUUAGGUGAUGGGAACCUGCACCUGAACAUCUGUGCGCCUCAGUUCAGCCCAGAGCUGCUGGCCAAGAUAGAACCGUUUGUCUAUGAGUGGAUAAGUGAGCGAGGAGGCAGCAUCAGUGCUGAACACGGCAUCGGCUUCAAGAAGACCAAGUUCUUACGAUACUCCAAGUCUGACGCAGCCAUCCACACCAUGAGACAGAUCAAACAGCUCAUGGAUCCCAAGGGCAUUCUCAACCCCUACAAAGUUCUGCCUAUGGAAUAGUUUCUGUAUCACUCAAAAAUUGGCUGAUACAACUUACCAUUUUGUCAUCUGAUAUGAAACUAAGACUAUCUGGCAGUUGAGGGAGAGGAUUGCCGAAGCCCUGCAGAGGAAUGGAUUCGUUUACAAGUACGAUGUUUCACUGCCACAUAACAGCUUCUAUCAACUGAUACCUGUCCUGCAAGACAAACUAAAAGGAACCGAUGCUAAAAUUGUCUCAGGCUAUGGACAUUUAGGUGAUGGGAACCUGCACCUGAACAUCUGUGCGCCUCAGUUCAGCCCAGAGCUGCUGGCCAAGAUAGAACCGUUUGUCUAUGAGUGGAUAAGUGAGCGAGGAGGCAGCAUCAGUGCUGAACACGGCAUCGGCUUCAAGAAGACCAAGUUCUUACGAUACUCCAAGUCUGACGCAGCCAUCCACACCAUGAGACAGAUCAAACAGCUCAUGGAUCCCAAGGGCAUUCUCAACCCCUACAAAGUUCUGCCUAUGGAAUAGUUUCUGUAUCACUCAAAAAUUGGCUGAUACAACUUACCAUUUUGUCAUCUGAUAUGAAACUAAGGUAUAAAUUACAGAUAGGUUGUGCAAUGAGGUUAAACUAUUAAAGAAGACCUCAGUUUACCUGAUGUUGGUAGAGGAAAGGAAUCACUUUAUUAGUUGAUAAAAACCGUCGAUUACCACAGAACAGCUAGACGUUGGCUGUUGACGGCCUUUUUCUACUUUUUCGUAACCGCUGUCCAAUCUGAGGUGUGUGUGUGUUUGAUGUCGGCUGCUUGAUCCUCAGGCCGUGAAGAAGGAAGUCGGCCAUUCCUGACUGUGACUUUGUGCUAGUCUGAGUUCGCCCCGUCUUCGUGCCUUAUUCGCUGUUUACGCUCGUUUCGACUUGAACAGUUUCACGUGUUCGAGUAUCGGUAUAUGAAUAAAGUAGCUAUGAACAAAUAAAAUUGUAAAAUUACUUUUGAGACACAUGGUAUAUAUACUGUAUAUAGAAUCGUUUAUAUUAAACACUUCAUAUCUCAUCUGAGAGCACAACAAGGUGGCGUAGGGAUUAGAAGAGGUCACUGCGCGGAGUUGGGCUGAUGCCCAGUUGCACCGGUGGUCAAUGGAAUUUGCAAGGGUCGACAAAGUCCUCCCUCCUAAGAGUGCCCAGUUGCACCGGUGGUCAACAAUCUGGCAUGCUUGGAUGCUCCUUCCCCUCCUCGAACGCUUUUAUAUACCUAUCUCCUCUUUUACGUUUCAUCGUAUAUAGUCUGCGCUUAAUAUUUACUAUUUAUAGGGAACUAGCACCUAACUUAACCUAACCUAACCUAACCUAACUUAACCUAACUUAACAUAACCUAACCUAACUUAACUUAACCUAACCUAACCCCCGGUGCAACUGGGCAUCACCCUAAAAUGACCAUCGGUGCAACUGGGCAUUCGAGAUUAGGGCCACCCCUGACCAUCGGUACAACUGGGCAACUGCCCGGAGUUGGGCUAUCCCCGAGUAGACAUCACCAUUGAAAUAUCGUUACGGAAAUAUCGUCACCGGUUUCGUGAUCGUGGCAAAAUCUUGCACAUCUUCCCCAGUCUUGUAGACGUAGUCAUCUUCUCCCGCAGUAACGGAAACAUCGUUAUCGUUUUCCGUGAUCGAAGUCAAACCUAGAGUAUCUCCCGCAGUCUUGUAUCUUCUGCGACCACAAUAGUAAAAGCUCAGCUUGACUUUGCCCAUAGUCUGAAAAAUACUAAAUUUUUUAUCAUCCGAAUGUGGUGGUAUGGUCCUAAUUGGUUUGGAUAAUUGGAGUUCUACUGUUAGUACAGCUAGACGUUGGCUGUUGACGGCCUUUUACUACUUUUUCGUAACCGCUGUCCAAUCUGAGGUGUGUGUGUGUUUGAUGUCCACACAAAAACAUUAAUUAAUUAAUAAACUUAAUUAGUAUUAAGUUUAUGGGCUUGUUAAUAGACGUCAUGUUCAAUUCAAUUUGGCGAAUUCUAUUGUAUACUUUUUGUUUACAUUGAAAUUUGAUCAGAAACAAAUUUAUUGUGGUCUUUGUAGUUGUAACUCUCAACAGUUGUUGUUUGAAUGCUUUUUAGUCUAUAUUAGGCAAGUAUCUAAGUGUAAAAUAUUUCUUACUAUUCUUGUUUUAUAUUUUAAAGUAUCUUAAAAUAUUCUUUGUUUGAAGUUUUUCUGUGACAAAGGUAUUUUAAAUACCCCCUCCGCAGCAAACCUGCAGACUAAGCGAAUUUCAACUCGUCUUAUUACAUUUUUGCUCAAAUAUUUCCAUAAAUAAGACAUAUUUUUAUUCCCUAUUUAAAUAACAUUAGAUUUAACGAGUGCUUAGGUUUGCUGCUACGGGGAAGGUAAAAAGUGUUUUUUGACUAUACGUCAAAGUAUAGGAUGAAAUAAAUAAAUUUGCCAAAUUUUAUCAAUAUAUAUCCAUAAACAAGUAAACUACAACAAUUUUCAUUUUCUCCAUAAAAAUAACAUGGGAAUUUUAAAUUACACAAUUUUUUAAUUUUCUCCGUGACCGUUAGGCAUACAACAGCGCUUCAAUAUACUAAAUUAUUUCUUUUUUUAAGCUCUACAAAACGGUCUAAAAAGAAAUUGCAAAAUUUUUUAUUUUUAGGGUCAAAAAUGGGAAAACCCCAUUUUUACCCCAUAAAACCCCCCAUAAACCCCCGUUCCCAUAGUCCGAUCAUGCUGGUUCGCGAACUCGUUCGAAUAAACGUAGGUUUACACGUUUAUACCAAAUUUCAUCGAAAUCGGAUCAUUUUUGCUCGAGUUAUCGCGCUAACGGACACAUAUAUAAAUAUAUAUAUAUAAAUCUAUACUAAUAUAUAAAAAUCUAAUGGUGUCUGUCUGUAUGUGUAUUACUAAUAGGUGCAAAAACUACUCAACCAACUGGGCUUAAAUUUUACAAAAAUAUAGCUACCAUACCAAGGACCAUUAUAGGACUAUUCACACUUCGAUACUGACCGUGGGCUUUGCCCCUUUGGCUUUAAAAGUUCUGAGGUGAGGAUUUUAAAAGUAAAUAUUGAUUGGUCUCCAUGGCUACAAUAAGAAUACUCACAAUGUUUACAUUUGCUUUGACAUUUCAAUGUAAACAAGAAAAACUGCCAAAUCGCAUAUUUCACACAAUUGUGUGGUUGGUUUAUUUAAUAAAAAAAUUUAUCAAAGAUCAUUUAUUCAAAAACAUUAAUGAUUAUAGAAAUAAAAAAAUAAUUACAAUGUAUUGAUGUUUAGUAUGAAUUUUGAGGCUACUGUAAAUAAAUUCGAACUGCUUAACAUGUGUUAGAUUAACUUAACAUAACUUGCACAUCACAUUGUUUUUUUAUGUAUAUUUAGGUAAAUUUAGUUGUGUGUUUUGCUAAACCUCCUAUGCUUAAAUUAAACUAAAGAAUAUCGUCAAUACUGUAACUAAAUUGUACGUCAUUGAUUUUUGUGUUCUAAAAUCUGUUGUAUAUGUGAAACUAUAUUUAAUUAUCAAAUGGUAAUACAAAAUACUCCUAUUUUAUCUUACUGUAACAUAACUUUCAGUUCACAUUUACUUUAUUAGAUAAAUUCAUUAUUUGUGUUUUGCCACAACACUGAUUAAAUUAAACCAAGGAAAAUAUCAUUAAACUAAGCAGUACACAGUGUUCUUUUAUUUCAAAAAUCAAUGAAAUAUGUUACUAUGUUUACUUAAUGGUAAGAGUGAAAAUGUAUAGGCAAUGGACGAUGGAACUGAUUAAAAGAACUGGUUUGUAUAUUAAGUUGUUUGUUGAUAUUUUUGUAGAGUAGAAUCAGAUAUGCAAUGAAACAUAACUAUACUGUAUUUGCUAUUACAUUUUUUAGUCCUUGAUGCUUUGAUAAUCAUAUUAGUUUUGCCUGCUGUCUUUAAUGCUAAAUGAUUUGUUUAACAUUAUUUUUGUAUAGAUAUAGUUUAUUUAAUAUUUAAAAGAUAAGGCACAAUAGUUAUUUGCGUAACUAGUGGGCAAAGUGGCACUUUGCUGCACACUAGAGCAAUGUUUACGCACUCGCCUGCGGCGAGUGCGGAAUGAUCUCGAGUGCAGCAAAGGCCUUUUGCACUCGUGUUACACAUUAUAUUUUUCCUACAAUCACUAAAAAGCAUAUAAAUAAUUAGUCUUUCAAACACUAUACAACAAGUUUUUAGGUUCAACUGGCAACACAAAUAGGUGCCCUAGAGAAAGUAGUACCCGGUCCGUAUCACUCCGCUAUUUUUUCCUCGGCAAGAAAUGUGCUCCGCGACUAGAGAAAAUAUUUCCGUAUGUUUUGUAAUUUGAAGUGGUUUCCGCGCCUAAAAAAAUGCUUUAAAGGUAUUUUCUUGUUUAUUAAGAUCGUUGGAAUGUUUUAAAAACGUUUAAAAGAAAAGUCCAGAAAGUUCAGAAAUACCGAAACUAUAAACACGAAAUGACAGGUUAAAUCGUAGUAAUAAUAGUCAAUCAGCUGCUCAUAGUAUUAUUAUCUUUAAGUGUUGCCAACCUAUUUCUAAACAUACACGGAUUACGUGCAUAAUAGAACCACGCUGUUUUGUGUUGUUUCGUUGGAAUCCUGAUGUGCGCCAAAGUAUAAACCGUACGACAAAGUAUAAACCGUACACGACAAAGUAUAAAUAUGCAGCUUUCUGUACUAUAAACAGUACAAGGAAGCCAACUUUGUCGGGUGACUUUAGGAAAAAUAUUUCUAAAGUUUAUAACAGCUGACUUAGUUUUGCUAAUGAUUUAUUGCGAGUGACGAAACUGAAGAUGGAAGGAUUUGUGAUUUAAAAUGAAGAAGAGUGAAAUUGAAAAAAUGUUAAUUUAAAUUUAAUCUAUAUAAAUAAAAUUAGAGUUUUGUCUGUACAUUGCUCAGAAUUAUAUACUUUUAGGUUAUUUUUACGUUUUAUACAUUAAAGAAGCAGAAACGAGUCUUAUCUCAAUUUCUGUCUGUCUGUCUGUCUAUCUGUCCCUUUGUCUGUAACACUCAAGAUGGGAUUUUACGCAAUCUUCUCCGUGAAAGCCAGAGUACAUAUCAAGAUCCAAGUCAUUUUAAUGUAUUCACUGGAUUGGCGAGAGUGUCUUUAGUGAUUUAAAUAUAGCCUCACUACUUUGUAAAUAAAAUUACGGACGUUCAAAAAUGCAGUUUUGUGCGAUUUUUGUCAAAUUUUCGUUCAAUUUUUAUCACAUAAUCGUCUAUGAAAUAACGAACAGCUGUUCGGAUCAAGAUUAUUUUUUCUAGCUGUCAAUGACAUGUUUACAAAUGUUGUUUACAAAUACCGCAACUAUUUGGAAUCACGUUUUGAAAGCAAAUCCCAACCAAGUGAGAUUAAAAACGUUUUUCUUACAUAACGGAUUUAAUUAAUCGCAAGUGCAAUAAUAUAGUCUAAUAGUGUAACCGUAAAUGAAAUUAAAUAACUAGACAUCGUCCAAAUCGGAACCAGAAAUUCUUUGAGUAUAAAAUGUUUCUUGAGUUUUGACAACCAGAAAGAAGAAGACCUUGAAUCAGUGUUGUAAUAGGGCUGUGACACUGAAAUGAUCGUCGCCAAUACCUUACAAAAAAGGUUUCCACUCAUUGACGGAGCUUCAAUGGCGGUUGUGUAAAGUGUAAAGUAAAAAAUCACAACUGCAGUGGGUGAUUGUAACAGAGGUUUAACAGAGGAAGUGCUAAACUCGCUUUUCCAAUUUGUCACUUUCUGUUUCUACUCACCGUGUGAUGCAAUCGCUGGACCAUACAGCCAAUAGGCCCAUAGCUCAUAUCUUGGGUACGUAAGCCUACAUAUUUAUUCAUAACAACCUUUUUGACGACGAUCCUUGAUACCGGUACUUUUCCAUAGAAUACAUGGCCUACCUACUUAAAAAAUAAAAUUACAAAUGACCAAAACCCCAACAUUGUGUGAUUUUCGUCACAUUUCCUUCUAAUGUUAAUAGAUAUACUAAUCAUUGUUUAGAGAAUGCGUAAUCUAUUAAAUAACAAAAAGUUGUUUGGGUAAGGUUGCUUUUUUUUCAAACUGACACCGAUAAGUUUACGCUAUAACUUUUUACGAGAAAAUCCAAAAGCAAGAGAUCAAUAACCUCGGGACUAGAUAUUAAUGUAUUUAAUUGGUCCGAUUUACUAUAGUUCUUAGGUAGGUUCUUACGCGUAGGUACUGGUUCUUUUCCUUAGAACCGGUAGUUUAGAAAUUUGAUAUCGUUGGUGUUGCACCUUAUUUAUUAGAGCCGUCCGUAUUCAAUUUAAGUGAUGUCUUAACUCUGUAUAAGUUUUGCUUUUUCUGUCUGGAUUCCAAAUCUUAGCUUACCCGGUAUGCUAAGAAAAUGAUAACCUAUUUGAGUAAAACACAUUUGUUGGGCAAACCAUCAUGAAUUGUUUACGCCUUUAUAUUGUUUAUGUAUCAAUAGUUCGUGGCCUUUGUUGGAUUGUUGUAUUGUGUUGUUUUGUUGUAUGUUGGUAACGCAUUAAUGUCCUUAUUUCUCAGUGUUUCACGGAAUGGACAAGAGCACCUUUGAUACUGAAAAUGUCAACCGGAAUAAAGUGUUAAAUGGUGAGGUUGAGGUAGUACUUUAAAUACGUUUAAGUUAACCGAUGUGGAAAGUAACUUUCAAUUAUAGGCCUACUUUAGGGCUACGCUUCAUGGAUCUAUAAAACAUUUUUUAGUUUAAUCAUUGGACAUAUGGACCAACACGAUCCGGGUGACAUUUAAUUGCGAAGCAUUUAUUUUGGCUUGAACUGUCAGAUACUGUAUUUGCGAAGGUUUAUAAUAGUUUUGCCAGCAUAUCUGCAAAUAUGCAAACUAAUUGCUGUUCUUAAUCUUAAUAUAAGAAGGUUUCAACUGACUACUAUAAGAUCCCCGUGCGUAGAACGGGCACACAGCUAGUAUAUAUAUAUAUAAAUAUAUAUAUAUAUAUAUAUGAAUUUGAACGAUUAGUGUUUUUGGCCUCUGGGGACAUCAAAAUGAAAAAGUAAAUCGGUCCCGCGCCCAGGUCUUACCAUGAGACCUACGGUAAUAGCUACUUCCCUAUAGGGAAAUUCGCUAAAACAAGUAGUAUGAAAUCUAUCGUGGAGUUUUUUAAUCUAUACAACUUUUUCAGAUUGUUUUAUCAAGUUUUUAAUUCAGGCAAAGACUUGGAAAACGUCAGAUAAGUAGGUAACAUAAUAUGCAUAAAUGUUUACUGAGGGUGGUCAUUUGAACGUUAAACUAUUUCUUAACAAAUAAACAGAAUCAGCAAUCUGACACAUACUUUCUCCCAUUAGCUUGUCAACAACCUUUAUCAUGGGUAAGCGAUGAGAGUAACUAUGAUAUUUAAUAGGUAAAAUCACAAAAGUUGUAUUAAAUUUUGAACCGUAAUUUUAACAGGAAUGGAUGGGGGGGAGUUUGCACUAUUUGGUUUAGAAUUAUAAGGACCAUUACAGAAAAUUUCAAUCAGAAUUGGUAAAAAAAAAACCUUUAUCUCCGUUUUUUUCAAUGGGAUUUAUGGGAAAAUAACGUAAGUUACAAUAACUUUUGAACAGUUUUUUAAAGGAAUGGGGGGUUGCACUAUGUUGUUAAGAAUUAUAAGGAUUAGGCCUAUCACAUACUAGUUUCAAUCGAAACCGGUUUUUUUUAGAAAAUAAGAAUAUCUCUUAUUUUAUGGUUUUUUUACGGAAAAUACCAUAAUUUACAAUAACUUAUGAACUGUAAUUUUUACAGAAAUGGGAGUUAUACCAUUUCGUUCAGAAUUUAAAGGGCUACAACACAAUAAAUUCUUAUCAAAAUCGUUCAGGGCAUUUUCGAGAAAAUCCAAUUUUCCUGUUAUUUAUGGGUUUUUAUGGGAAAAUCAACAUUAAAAAUCAAAAUAAAAAAAUGAAAAAAAAACGCCUGCAUAUACCAUGGAUUAGUACCUACAUACCAAAUUUCAUCAAAAUCGGACUACAGGUGUGGUCUAAAAGGUCUAGCUCUGUACACAUCCACACUUAAAAAAAACUCAAAGCUUGUUGCUUAGUUUGGCUCAUGUUGAAGAUUAUCAAACUGUUAAAUUACUGGCAUUUUUUUAUUGACAACAAAUUGAAUUGGAAGUCUCAUGUUGAGUAUGUGAACAGAAAAAUUUCAAGAGUUUCUUAUCUCAUGUGGAAGCUUAGGGAUUUUGUGAGUUUUGAAUAUCUAAGGGUGGCUUACUAUGCUUUUUGUCAGUCCCAUCUUUCGUAUGGCAUUACUCUUUGGGGUCAUUCAGGUUUUGUGUAUGACAUACUUACAACACAGAAAAAUAUAAUUAGAACAAUCUUUAGGACAAGUGACACUGAACAUUGCAAACCACUUUUUAUAAAACUCAAAGUAACGACUGUUAUUAAUCUUUACAUUUACCACAUUCUCAUUUAUACCAAACUACAUAUUACAGAUUUCAAUAAUAGAAAAACAUUCCAUAGCCACAACACAAGAGGAAAAAACAAAUUUGACCUUCCCCAGCACCGCUUAGGCCGGUUUUAUGCACCGCGACAGUCGCGUGUCGCGUGUCGCGGCGCGACUCAAGUUCUAUUGAGUUAAAUGGGAGCAUUUAUGCACCGCGACAGCGACAAACUGCCGCGCGAGCGACUCGGAGAUCUCUAAAUACCCGCGACAGGUUUUAGAAUCGCAGCUUCAAAAAAUGUGUCGCGCGCGGUUCAAGUUCUAUUGGAUCAAAUGGGCACGUUUAUGCACCGCGACAGUCGCGGCGCAACAGUAGUAUUUUUCAUACUCCACGUGGUAUAUUCUCCAUAUAUUUAUAUUGAUUAAUGUUAAUAAUUAGUAUAUAAAUGAGUUCUUUACCCUUUAUUUGUAAUAUAAAUUACAUCAUUAUAUUAUGUAAUGACAUUUUUAAGAGGGUUGACCCAAUUCCAACUGUAAAUUGUAUGUGUUGUUUAAAUAACUGGGGUUUUGUCGUUAACGUGUACAACACUACAGGGUCUAUUUAAACAACUUAAUAAUCACUUCUACAUCACAAACACAACACACAACAUUGGAUUGAGAACAGACUGAUUUCUUUAAUUCCCCCAACACCGGAUGUGAGUUUACGCGACAAAAAAGUGUCGCUGUCGCGUGACAUUUUGGUCACCCGCAAGACGUGGCGCGACUCGCGACUCGCGACUGUCGCGGUGCAUAAAACCAGCCUUAGCAAAAACGGGAAACUGCUUUAAAAUUAACUACGUGAGAUUUUUCAAUAAACUGCCUGACACUGCCCGAUUUGUGACUAUGAAACAAUUUAAAAUUAAAAUAUCUGAGUGGUUUAUUGCCAAUCCUUUUUAUAAAAUAGAAGAUUUUUUAUAAUGUCCUGUUACUAUUCACUUUAAGAUUUAAUUUAUGUUUUACAAGUGCAUUUAUGUCUUUAAUUAUAUUUUGUACGCUUACAGUAUUUUCAAAACCGCUACAUGUGUACUCAAAUAAACUUUUUGUUAAACGGAAAUUAGAAUGUAAGAGCACAAUCAGUGUUUUAGAGGCACAGAACAAUAUAGAUGUGUUAUAGUUGUUAGACUUGAAAUAUAGCCUAAAAUAGAUUUUAUUAAGAUGUAUAUUUAACUAUUUACUGUAAUAGAUGCCUAUGUACAGAGUUGUUAUUGUAUAUGUACUUGUUUACUAAAUUCUAUAAAGAC